GAAUCAGGCCGUCCAAGAACUAUUUGUUCGGAUUAGCUGACAGCUGUAGAACAGUGAGCUGACAAAGAGAGUUAUGGUGGCUGUCAUGUUGGAACUUGGGUUCCCAUCUCUGAUUAGCCAUCUGGGAUGACUGCAAUGCUCUGCAGCGUUACCUGGGAGUAAGCACCAUUGAACUCAGUGAUGUUUACUUUUGACUGCAGAGGUUCAUUUGGUAGAACACAAUGUACUUUCACUAAAGAUCUUCAGCUAGCUGAAAGCCUUUUGCUUUUAAUUAGAACUGCUAGCCUGAAAAAAGUGCAGGAGCUGCUCUGUUCACCACCAUUUCUGGUCCACCACACCACCAAUGUUCAUCAGCACCCACACCAGCCGGGCCUAUCUCUACAUCCUUGCUCAAAGCCGGAUGGUGGUGGUGCUGAUUUUAGGUCCUGAAUGGCAUUCCCCUCUUCCUUAUAUUUCCCCCCCUGUAAAGUCUCUUCUACCUGCUGUCAUGUGAAUGUAAUUCAAGAUUAUCAGCCCAGGAUAUUUUGCUGCUAGUGGCAGAGCAGCAGAUGUCACCUUACCUCCUAAAUCACUGUAUAUAGUAUCUAAAGCUGGUAAAAUGAUUUGGCAAUGGAGGCAAAAAACCCCCACAACUGCCUCUCUUCCUUGGCACUACAAGUGCAAUUCCAAUAAAUAAAGUAAUUUAACCAUUUGUCGCCAUUUCGUGGCAUCCAAAAUUAGCUGCAUGAGGCUGCCGUCUCACUGUCUAAUAGUUGGGCCAGUUCUCUCUGGCUCCACGUUCCCACAGGAGGACAGGACUUGACUUAGUUCAGCUUGCCUGCCGUAUAUCAAACUGUAUGGAGAGGCCAAUUUGAAAUGGCACAGCAUCAACACGAACACGUUCCCAGGUUCAGGCCUUGGGAAGUCCAUGUGGGGCAAGGACAAAUUCCCUGUCUCAACUCCUGAAGAGCCACUGCCAGAUAGUCUAUAAUAGAUAACCCUGAGCUAGAUGGGCCAUUGAUCAGAUUUGGUACAGGGCAACUUCCUAGUGUUAACAGUUGCAUACAGGAUUUGGAUAUGGCAGAGGGAAUGGUGUCGCAAUGUCCUCACAGUGCACAUAUGUACAUACCAAGCAGAGUAGUACCUGCCAGUGCCCUAAUCCCUUUUUCCGAUAGAUGCCUGCUCUCAGUACAGGAAACACGGCAAUAAAGUAGUCGCUGUACAAGCAUCCACAGUAAUCAUUUGGAGAGAGAUGUCUUCAAGCUACUUAGCUUCGCUAAGAAAUAUGAGAAAAACAUACUUUUUGCAUGCUGUUGAAUCUAAAUAGAUCUCCAGUUGUCACAACUUGAUGAGUCCCCCCUCCCCAAAAUCUUGCCUGACUCAGUUCUGAAGAUGCUGACUCAGUAUAAAGAUGUUUACUUUGCUGCCUAAAAAAGAAGCAGAUAGCUUACUCAUCUCAGAUGUCAUCGUAUUUUUUUUUUAAAAAACCCCACCUGAAACCAGAACAAAUGACAAUACAUGCCAGUACUUCCAUUUGACCAUUAGCCCUCCAACUCAGUCUUUUCUCUCUCUGCUCAUCCAGUAGCCCUACCUGGAGGUGCCUGGGAUUUAGCCUUCAACCUUUUGCAUGCGCACUGACAGGGAGCUUCUGUUGAAAAGCAGUUGAUACAUUUUAAAAUAAAUGAUAUAGCCCAUUGAGCCAUUCCGUAAAUUGAAUUUAUGCGAAUUUAUCGAUUCAGUUAGAGUAACAUGCACAGGAGGACUGUUUUAUCAUUUAUCCCAUUCUUGGGUCACAUUUAACAAAGCAUAAAUAUCUGGCAGGAUUCAUUUUCUCCUUUCCUUUUCCUCAAGUUUCCUUUGCUUCCUAAAGCAAGUUUGCAAUGGAAUUUUGUGGGGGGCGGGUGUUGGGUGUCCUCUCAGCCCCACUUCACCCCAGAAGUCUUCUGCAAGAAGAACCAUAAGGAUGAGGGGGAGGAAGAGGAGAAAAUAGAACUAAUAAAGUUCUAGAUAGAUACAUAUGAAUAUUCUGACCACCUGAGAUCUUUAACUGGCUAUGCCAGGGUUUUAGCAAAUUGUACAUGGAAACCAUGUGCUCUGUCUACUACAGAGUCUCUCAGCAUUAUUCUUUCAUGACCUAUUUUUUGUAUUGGAAAAGUUCAGAAUAUCAUGGACGUCGAUGGAACUGUGAGCACUACAAAUUCUCCUCAAUUUGCGAUCGGAUUUCUCUCAGGCUCCUUGCCCGUGUAUGUGUGUUUGUACAAUUAUAUGUGCUUCUUUUGUCAUAGUUCGCUUUAGCUUGGUUGCAUGGAAUUCAUUAGCUGCUCUCAUGUGAGGCUUAAAUUUCUGUGCAUGUAAGAGAAUAUCCUAUUUCUUGCAGAAUAAAUGUUCAUUUCCUGGCAGGAGUGUAAUAAUAGAAUAGGUUCCCCCUCCCCUCCAUUCAAAAAAAUCUUCUGUUUACAGUAAAGGGAGAGAAAGCCACAAUAACUGGCAAUAGCUAUGCAAAAUUAUUCAUGGGCAAGGAUUGUUGAACUUCAGGAAGUUGCUUUCCAGGAGAGGCAUGCAAAAUACAUUUCUCUUCAGUAACCAGACUGCUGAUGACGCCGGCCUAGAGACACCAUUUUGCUUUUCCAUAUUUUGCCAACCAUGAAAGUGCUAGGAGGUAUUUGAUGUACCUGUGCCUCUUUUUUAAAAAUACAACUUGCUCUCAGGGAGGAAGAAAAAAUCCAAUUUGAACAG
rnacentral:lncRNA from 1 species